rnacentral:rRNA from 1 species
AGGGCACCACCAGGAGUGGAGCCUGCGGCUUAAUUUGACUCAACACGGGAAAACUCACCCGGCCCGGACACCGUAAGGAUCGACAGACUGAGAGCUCUUUCUUAAUUCGGUGGGUGGUGGUGCAUGGCCGUUCUUAGUUGGUGGAGCGAUUUGUCUGGUUAAUUCCGAUAACGAACGAGACUCUGGCCUAUUAAAUAGGCGAUACAUAGAAAAGUGUAUCGAACUUCUUAGAGGGACAAGCGGCGUCUAGCCGCAUGAAAUAGAGCAAUAACAGGCCUGUGAUGCCCUUAGAUGUCCGGGGCUGCACGCGCGCUACACUGAAAGAGUCAGCGUGCGUUUUACCUAGUUCGGAAGAACCGGGUAACCCAAGUAAAUUCUUUCGUGCUUGGGAUAGAGAAUUGCAAUUAUUUCUCUUAAACGAGGAAUUCCCAGUAAAUGCGGGUCAUAAGCUCGCGUUGAUUACGUCCCUGCCCUUUGUACACACCGCCCGUCGCUACUACCGAUUGGAUGACUUAGUGA